AGAGUUUGAUCCUGGCUCAGGAUGAACGCUGGCGGCGUGCCUAACACAUGCAAGUCGAGCGAGACGGCUAACAUUGAAUCUUCGGAUGAUUUGUUAGCUAGACAGCGGCGGACGGGUGAGUAACGCGUGGGUAACCUACCUUAUGGAGGGGGAUAACAUUCUGAAAAGAAUGCUAAUACCGCAUAAGCGCACAGUAUCGCAUGAUACAGUGUGAAAAACUCCGGUGCCAUAAGAUGGACCCGCGUCUGAUUAGCUAGUUGGUGAGAUAAAAGCUCACCAAGGCGACGAUCAGUAGCCGACCUGAGAGGGUGAACGGCCACAUUGGGACUGAGACACGGCCCAAACUCCUACGGGAGGCAGCAGUGGGGAAUAUUGCACAAUGGAGGAAACUCUGAUGCAGCGACGCCGCGUGAAGGAUGAAGGUUUUCGGAUCGUAAACUUCUAUCAGCAGGGAAGAUAGUGACUGUACCUGACUAAGAAGCCCCGGCUAACUACGUGCCAGCAGCCGCGGUAAU
rnacentral:rRNA from 1 species